GAUUAACGCGAAGAACCUUACCAGGGUUUGACAUGCCGGUGCACCGGCCCGAGAAGGUCGUGCCCGCAAGGGACGCCGGCACAGGUGCUGCAUGGCUGUCGUCAGCUCGUGCCGUGAGGUGUUGGGUUAAGUCCCGCAACGAGCGCAACCCCCAUCGUCGGUUGGACUUUUCCGACGAGACUGCCUCGAUCAACGGGGAGGAAGGUGGGGAUGAGGUCAAGUCAGCACGGCCCUUACAUCCUGGGCGACACACACGCUACAAUGGUCGCGACAACGGGGAGCCAACCCGCGAGGGGGAGCCAAUCCCAGCAAAGGCGGCCUCAGUUCGGAUUGCAGGCUGCAACCCGCCUGCAUGAAGUCGGAGUUGCUAGUAACCGUGGGUCAGCACACCACGGUGAAUACGUUCCCGGGCCUUGUACACACCGAAUCACUAGU
rnacentral:rRNA from 1 species